rnacentral:rRNA from 1 species
UUCGGGACUGAUUAUUUUGUGACUGAGUGGCGGACGGGUGAGUAACACGUGGGUAACCUGCCUCACACUGGGGGAUAACGGCUGGAAACGGUCGCUAAUACCGCAUGACACAUAGGUGUCGCAUGGCACUUAUGUCAAAGAUUUAUCGCUGAAAGAUGGCCUCGCGUCUGAUUAGCUGGUUGGUGGGGUAACGGCCUACCAAGUCUACGAUCAGUAGCCGGCCUGAGAGGGUGAACGGCCACAUUGGAACUGAGACACGGUCCAAACUCC